GAGUGACCGCUGGCGGCCGGCCUAAUACAUGCAAGUCGAACGGCAGCACAGUGGAGCUUGCUCCAUGGGUGGCGAGUGGCGGACGGGUGAGGAAUACAUGGGAAUCUGCCCAGUCGUGGGGGAUAACGUAGGGAAACUUACGCUAAUACCGCAUGCGCCCUUCGGGGGAAAGCCGGGGACCUUCGGGCCUGGCGCGAUUGGAUGAGCCCAUGUUCGAUUAGCUAGUUGGCGGGGUAAAGGCCCACCAAGGCGACGAUCGAUAGCUGGUCUGAGAGGAUGAUCAGCCACACUGGGACUGAGACACGGCCCAGACUCCUACGGGAGGCAGCAGUAGGGAAUAUUGGACAAUGGGCGCAAGCCUGAUCCAGCCAUGCCGCGUGAGUGAAGAAGGCCCUCGGGUUGUAAAGCUCUUUUGUCCGGGAAGAAAAGCAUCGGGCUAAUACCUCGGUGUUCUGACGGUACCGGAAGAAUAAGCACCGGCUAACUUCGUG
rnacentral:rRNA from 1 species